AUUGAACGCUGGCGGCAGGCUUAACACAUGCAAGUCGAGCGGAGAUGAGGUGCUUGCACCUUAUCUUAGCGGCGGACGGGUGAGUAAUGCUUAGGAAUCUGCCAUUUAGUGGGGGACAACAUUCCGAAAGGGAUGCUAAUACCGCAUACGUCCUACGGGAGAAAGCAGGGGAUCUUCGGACCUUGCGCUAAAUGAUGAGCCUAAGUCGGAUUAGCUAGUUGGUGGGGUAAAGGCCUACCAAGGCGACGAUCUGUAGCGGGUCUGAGAGGAUGAUCCGCCACACUGGGACUGAGACAUGGCCCAGACUCCUACGGGAGGCAGCAGUGGGGAAUAUUGGACAAUGGGCGGAGGCCUGAUCCAGCCAUGCCGCGUGUGUGAAGAAGGCCUUUUGGUUGUAAAGCACUUUAAGCGAGGAGGAGGCUACCUGGAUUAAUACUCUGGGAUAGUGGACGUUACUCGCAGAAUAAGCACCGGCUAACUCUGUGCCAGCAGCCGCGGUAAUACAGAGGGUGCGAGCGUUAAUCGGAUUUACUGGGCGUAAAGCGUGCGUAGGCGGCUUUUUAAGUCGGAUGUGAAAUCCCCGAGCUUAACUUGGGAAUUGCAUUCGAUACUGGGAAGCUAGAGUAUGGGAGAGGAUGGUAGAAUUCCAGGUGUAGCGGUGAAAUGCGUAGAGAUCUGGAGGAAUACCGAUGGCGAAGGCAGCCAUCUGGCCUAAUACUGACGCUGAGGUACGAAAGCAUGGGGAGCAAACAGGAUUAGAUACCCUGGUAGUCCAUGCCGUAAACGAUGUCUACUAGCCGUUGGGGCCUUUGAGGCUUUAGUGGCGCAGCUAACGCGAUAAGUAGACCGCCUGGGGAGUACGGUCGCAAGACUAAAACUCAAAUGAAUUGACGGGGGCCCGCACAAGCGGUGGAGCAUGUGGUUUAAUUCGAUGCAACGCGAAGAACCUUACCUGGCCUUGACAUACUAGAAACUUUCCAGAGAUGGAUUGGUGCCUUCGGGAAUCUAGAUACAGGUGCUGCAUGGCUGUCGUCAGCUCGUGUCGUGAGAUGUUGGGUUAAGUCCCGCAACGAGCGCAACCCUUUUCCUUACUUGCCAGCAUUUCGGAUGGGAACUUUAAGGAUACUGCCAGUGACAAACUGGAGGAAGGCGGGGACGACGUCAAGUCAUCAUGGCCCUUACGGCCAGGGCUACACACGUGCUACAAUGGUCGGUACAAAGGGUUGCUACACAGCGAUGUGAUGCUAAUCUCAAAAAGCCGAUCGUAGUCCGGAUUGGAGUCUGCAACUCGACUCCAUGAAGUCGGAAUCGCUAGUAAUCGCGGAUCAGAAUGCCGCGGUGAAUACGUUCCCGGGCCU
rnacentral:rRNA from 1 species